UACUCCCCAAAAUGGCAAAACAUGUCAAAACCCCACCAAAUCUGUCGCAAUUCAUCGAAUUCGUGCCCUUCCUCUCCCCAAUCUCGACUCCACAUUCCAGCGGAGAGAAUGGAUGAAUGAUCUGAAUGAAGAUUGCUUGUGAUCUCCAGUCCUCUAUCAGAAAUCUCCAAACUGGAUCAUGUAUUCAUGGUUGAAUUUCUCUCACCACUGGGCAGUUGAUAUCACAGCCAUUUUCAAUUGGUGAUACCACAAAAGGCUUUACAUAGGAUGAUUCAUUUUAUGCUUCUUGGAGUCCUGAAUUUCAAAAAAAGCAGAGCAGGAUAUCCUUGUUGAGGCUGUCAACAUCAUCAAACGCUCUCAGUUGAUGUGCUUUUGCUUUGAGGUUAGCUUGAUUUUAAUUUGUGUCAUGAUUAAUAUACUAGAUACAGCUAUGCAAAUUAUGUAGUGAAACUUGCUGGAUUUUGAAUUCUCAUCUUUGUCUAAAACUAAGUUGCCACCUUCUUGAAUUUUCCAGUGUUAUUCCAUUAUCUUUUUUGACAUACCUUUUGGGAGUUCAA